rnacentral:tRNA from 1 species
GUUAGGUUAGUUUAAUAAUAAAACGCCAGCCUGUGGAUUUGGAAAAAGGAAGAAUUCCUACUUAACC